rnacentral:rRNA from 1 species
GAUGAACGCUGGCGGCGUGCCUAAUACAUGCAAGUCGAGCGAACGGACGAGAAGCUUGCUUCUCUGAUGUUAGCGGCGGACGGGUGAGUAACACGUGGAUAACCUACCUAUAAGUCUGGGAUAACUUCGGGAAACCGGAGCUAAUACCGGAUAAUAUUUUGAACCGCAUGGUUCAAAAGUGAAAGACGGUCUUGCUGUCACUUAUAGAUGGAUCCGCGCUGCAUUAGCUAGUUGGUAAGGUAACGGCUUACCAAGGCAACGAUGCAUAGCCGACCUGAGAGGGUGAUCGGCCACACUGGAACUGAGACACGGUCAAGACUACUACGGGAGGCAGCAGUAGGGAACCUUCGGCAAUGGGCGAAAGCCUGACGGAGCAACGCCGCGUGAGUGAUGAAGGUCUUCGGAUCGUAAAACUCUGUUAUUAGGGAAGAACAUAUGUGUAAGUAACUGUGCACAUCUUGACGGUACCUAAUCAGAAAGCCACGGCUAACUACGUG